GCUUGUAGAGGUGACGCAAGUUUAUAAACAAACCUGAAAAGAGAAAUAAUUGUUUAGGAAGAACUGAAAAAUCACUGCAGAGUACUUAUGACAGAUAACUGCACUGAGUUAAUAAUCAUUUCGGAUUUUCUUCUCACAUAUGGACAUAAAACGAUGAAAGCUAAAGACAAGAGAGAAACACAAUGAAACAACAACAAAAACUUACCUAAAAAUAACAAUAUAAGGUAGAUUUGAAGAAAGAAUGAAAAUUUGAUUGUAACGCUCAUCGGAUACGGCAGUGUGAAACUAAACUUCCCUGUUUCACUGAAGAUCGGAAUGGCCUGAAUCAGAGACACGGCUGAAAGCAGAAGGCCAAGAAGAUUAUAGGCAAAAUACAAAGGACAAGGUAAACUUGAGAGCUGGUCAAAAAACGAAGCUUCUCAAAGUUGUUCCCUUUUAAUGGUAAAAUAUUUUGAUCCAUUCUGACCAGCUCUUGUAAUCUAGAGAGACUUCAGCACAAACUAGUUUUAAGUGGCAUCUUUAAACACAGCUGCACCUAAGUCAUGAUAUUUUCCUACUUUUGUUUGUUGGCGUUGGUGGGCGAUGCUAUGAGUGUCCCAAGAUCCAGGGUCUUGGAGCCAAGAUUACUCAUGGGUCCCCUGUGCAAUUCAAGAGCCAGGUCCGUGCCCUUUCUAAGGGGUGCGGCCAUCACGUCCUCCACCCCCGGGGGACUGAGCCAGACUCCCUGAGUGACAAAGCACCCAGACACAGCUCUACUUCCCUGCGGCAGGAGGAGGGGAUAGGGACCAUACAGUGUUUUCACACACAAACAGUGAAAAACGGCUUCUCCCAAAUCUCACUAUGAAGAAAGUCAACCCAGAGAACCGAAGAAAAGCAACAACCCAAACCAGCCAAAAAAAGUACAUAAAUUGUGCAUCUGUUUUCCUGUGCAACCAUGUGUGGGGUGAUUGCUUGUGCCAAUGCCUCACGUCGUCUUCUCCUGCUCUUCCUGUUUAUUAAGAGGCCUGUGCUUCCUACCUCACUUUAAAUAGUCUCUCUCUUUUGGGAAGGGAGACAGCCUGAUGGGACCAUUCUCCUCUCUUCCCCCUUAGCCUAGAAGGAUUAUUUCAAGCGCAGACCACUAGCAUCGACUCUUGCUCCAGCUGCUCCAAUCACUUUGUAACUAGUUUUUGAGCAGCUCAGGCCAUGUAACUUUUCCCAAAGCUUCUAGCAAUGCCUUCAUUUGUGCCUUCAGCUGGGAGGAGACCUGGCUCACGCCAGUGUAGCUCCAAGAUGCACCAGCCUGGCAAUCCAAACAUUUCUUCUUGAGGUGUUACGGGAGGUGUUAGGGUGGCUGAAGAAAGUGACAGAGCUGGAGACUGAAGUCCUCUACGUAUCCAAAGGGCGAAGUACAGAAAGGCCAGUGAAAGUGUAAGCUUCCCUGCUGCAGACGUGCCUCACUCCUGCACCUCUACAGGUCAGAGAGCAGCAUGAUCUACAAGGCUGUGUUUUUGAAGCUUACCUUCUGCCAAGCCGCCUAGAGGAUAGAGAGGAAUCCAGAUGGUAUAUCGGAUCCAAGUUAGUAAUUUCCAUUCUAUAUCAAUGCAGGAAAGCAUGUAGAAUGGAUACCUAGAAUAAAAUUCAAAGUUUGAAAGCCAGACAUUACUUAAAAGUUUAACUUUCCUCUUAAGUUACAAUAUUGGGCAUAAUCACUGUAUGAUGUCGUGAAUGUCAAAUAUUCAUGAUAAACAUGAUAAAUUCGUUUAACUAUUAUCUUCAUUGUAAAUAAUGAUUACGAAUAUUAAAAAGGGACUGUUUCAUACGGAGCUGCGGCAGGUAUGUUUUUCCUCUCACAACUUACAGUACUAGACCUGUUAUCCUGGCAACCUGGAUAGGGUUAACUACCUGCUUUCUUCAACAAAUAUUUCAAUUUAGAUCCCAAAAAAUGAAUAGAAUACAAUGUAGUUUUUCCUGACGAACACCAGAAAUUCCAGAAUCCAUCAAAUUCUUUAGCCAAAGGUCUGAAUUUCUUGUGGAAAGUGACAUGAAAAUGAGAUUUCCCUACCAAGGGCUGGAAAUGGGUAGAGGAACAUAACAGCAAGUUUUCCCAGACACGGAGCAACAUAGGCUCUCGCAUCUCACAUUGGAAUCAGUCCCAGACUCUGCCAGAUACAGGAAGCUAGCAAGACAGUUAUGCUGUGGCAAAUCUGAGUCCAAGGAAUGUUUUACCAGCAGGGGCUAUAAUGCAAAUGCCACAGGGUGUUUCUUAAUGGCAAAAUCAAAAUUAUUUGAAAGCAAUG